AGCAGGGAAAAAAUAAAAGGCUGAAGAAAGAUGGGAAAAGGAGUUGAAAAGUAUAGCAACGUGGAUGAUAAGGUCAGAGUGGAAAGUAGGGAAGGGGAUGGGAGUGAGAAGCAGUGAGAGAGGACAGGAACUUCUGGGGGGAGAAAAGGCCGUGCAAUGUUAUGGUUUCUGAAGAGGGAAAUGAGCUACAGUUUCUACUGAAAAGAAAAUGAAAAGGGUAUUAAAAUUAUUUUAGCCAAAGCUACUAUGUUUGACUUUUUCUUCAGACAAAAAGCUCUCAUUGUCCCCAUGAAAGAACUCUGAAUAUGGUAUUUCUGAUUUUCAAAGCUCUGGCUCCAGAGAUUCCUGGAUUUGUCUUCCCAGGUCGCUGAGGUUAUGUCAGGACACGAACCUUCGUACUGUCACUAUAUCAAAGUGACCUCUACGGACACACCUGGUUUCAAGGCAGUGCCACUGUAAUGUUUCUGCUGGUAGCGCGUUUUGUUUACAGAGCAAAUGCCCCUUCACAAACACAUAGAACAGUAUGAGCUCCGUGUACUGAAGUUACCAGGCUGAUGUGAGAUAGCACACAGAGUACAACAAUGAAGUGGGCUAUUCCAGUGUAGAAUAAACUUAUGUACAGCAUUUUUCUUCGGAGAAAUGCUAGCUUAGCUAGUGUACAAACAAGUGAUAAAAUUUCCUCAUACACAAGGCAGAUGUUUUAUACGGGCAGGAGACCAAUUCAGAUGAAAACAAAAAUGCACGAGUGCUCUGGCACAUUGCAGCAAAGAGGAGGAAUCCCGCUGGUACCAAACUGCGCUAGCCCUGCAUUGGGAAAGAAGACAAGUGAGACUGAAGCUUUGAAAACUAAAUUCCCUCAGCUUAUUCUUGACCCCAAGGUCUCUGAAUGGAGUCUCCUUUGAGUGCAAAUGAUGAAAGGGUUUGCUGCCCUGAAAAUGCAGAACAGCUCAGAAUGUGCUCCAUUCAGGGCCAGCCUUCCUGCCUGCUUUAGGUAAAGAGAACUCCUCUUCAUCACCAUCGUUGCAGUCUCAAAACGAUUAACUCCAUCUUACCAACUGUUGACAUUUUAUGCUGGGAAGGAGUUGUGAAGGGAGUCCUGAAUGAGCUACAAGUUGGCAGGAACAUCUGAAGGAAGAGAGAGGCUUUGGAACCCGGCAGCAAGUGGUACGCGAGAGACCUCUUCAGCUGGUGGGGGGGGAGAGAGAUCCUGAAGAAGGCAGUCUGGGUGGAGAGGUUUUCUGCUUGACAUCGUCAGUUAGUUUCUUCAGAACAAACAAGCUCAACUUUUUUUUUUUUCAUGUAUCAUUUUCCAAUCGCUAACCAACUAAUUGUCUUUCGACAGCCAACAUCUGUCACAUUAAUCUCCUUUCCUCCCACUUCUCAUGGGGAGACCUACAGGAGGUGGAUUUGGUUAUUAAUUUCUGUUGGCUUAUCUAUGCUACUGUUCUUUUUAUUACUCAAAACCAUAUGGAAUACCCGUAAGAUCUGAAGUUUCAAGAAAUUCUUAAAGUCUCAGCAGGACUCAUCUCGCCGAUGAUCCCACAAAACUGGAUUUGAGAAGCAAUGUUUUUAACCCUUUCCUCAGCUUGUAGUUAUUUUUUGAGGGACCAAUCUGUGGAUUGCCUUGAAAAUUAAGUCAAAUUUCUUCAUAUACACACGGCAGAAAGCCAGCACGGCAGUAGGAAAGCCAGAGUUCUUUUUGAAAAACCCAAAAGAAAGCUACCAAGCCAGGUCUUCAAAAUUAUAAGCUACUGCCAUACCAUUGCUUUAAGCAGUGAGAACUGGCUGACACUGUGCAGAAAAAAUAAAUAGAAAAAUGCAAUGCAAACAUGUUAAGACAACAAGCGUGUCCUACAGUCAAACAUACCAACUUUCAACACCCUUUAACAAAUAAAUGCUUUGAAUUAAAAUGUUGGUAUCGGUACAAAUCGUAAACAGCAAUGCAUACAUGAUUAAAAAAAAAUUCAGCAAUCCUUUAGACUCAAAUUGUUUUUUCUAGAAGGAAUAAAACUGCUCAUCUAUUGCUGCACUGGCAAAACAAUGUUUUCCCAGAAAGUUUUCAUGAUAGACUCUACCAGGAGGCUGUAACAACGAAGAAUCCAAAUGGCUAAUGUAUUCAAGAGAACAUUGCAUAUAUUAUAAAAGCAUUCGUAUUGGAGACCAACAUGUUUCUAGGAGACGCUGCAACACUGCCUUACAGUACGCAACAAUUCCAUGAGAUUUGUCCAUUUGCAUGCAAAACAAUGAUGGAAGAAAAACCUCAAAACAUUUUUGUACUUUCUUUGUUAACUGAACAGCUUUAAACUAAAUUUGACAUGCAAGAAGCAGUGUUCUAGAAAAUAUAAUGCCCUUAUAACCAAAACCUAUGCCAAGACAUCAUGACAAUUGUAUUCCAGGACGCUGGAGUCUGCAGCAGUGGGAAGCAGAAAUUCCUGUUGAAGCUGUUCCUGCGGAGUACUUGGAGACCAAGAGCUGGACCGCACGACUUACCAGAGAUGAGAAAUGCCUCUUGCGAAGACGUACAGGAAAGAGAAAUAGAAGAAAAUUCCAGUGUACUACACAAGAAGUUUAACUGCAUUGCCUUGUUUACCUAAAGCCACAUUACAUUCCGUUGCCCAAAAAGCAUGAUCUACGUGCGGGUUUCUCAGUACUGGCUCUACUGAAAUUCAGACCAACCUGCCCCAGCCCAGGAUGCAUCUGCUCUUUAGGAUUAUUAGAAUUUGGUUUCGAAAGCCAAAUCUGGUCUAUACACUCCUCCUGAAAGGAUUUACGACAUUUUUACAAUAAUGGUAGUUCUGUCUUACCAAUAAGGAUGUUAUUAGCCUUAAUUUUCAAAAAAUAGCUGAUGCUUUUUCUUAUUUAGACUGAAAAUACUGGGGCUGUUUUCCUUACAUGCUGGUUUUCUAUUUGAGGUUUGCAGCUUUUCACUAUGACACUGUUUAUCAUUAUUUAGCUGGGAUACUUUUCACUGUUGCUCACUGAGGAAAAAGUGCUUGUGAAACAGAGGAGGUCCUGCCUUAGGAAUGAGGACCUAAGGAGGAUCCACAUCUUUUAGGCUAUAUAGACCCUGUGCCCUUUCUACUCCAUGGCAACAAUUUUUUUUAAGGGUGUCUUUGGUCAGCCUCACUUCCAUUCUCAUCCUACUGAACACAAGUUUUAAUAGAUAAUCACCUCACACAAAAACAUACGCUACUUGGGGUUUUGGGUUUUUUAUUCCUAGAGUUCUAAAACUCCAUUUGUAACCUGCUGUGGUUUGCCUCUUUGAAGGUCUCACUAGGCUCUGCUUUCAGCCCGUUUUAACCGAUGCAUCUCAGCCCUAGUUAGUAAAUAAAUUAAAGUCCCUUCAGUUGCCUACAUGCUGACAAUCCACUCUAUCUAUUACUGCUGCUUCUGCCAGUCUGAUCUCUCCAGCAUACCCUCGUUUGGUCUGCUGUCAGAAAUCGAAUCCUCCCUUCUUCAAUUUAGCCUAGUAAAUUGCAAUAAAAUCAUCCCAACUUUCAUUUCUGCUCUCUUGCAAACUUCCAAAUUUGAUCCAAGUCUUGCCACUUGAUAAACAGUCUGGGUUCAAAUCCACCUUGAAACAAAACACACAGCUACAUUCUAGACAUCUCCCACGUUGAUUACUGGAAUCCAACCUUCUGUGAAAAACUUAUUUUCCACUCAAAAUAGAUCUGUUAAGCCUCAUUCAACAUGGCCGUGAAGUUCUUCAUUUAGCUUCCCUCACAUGCUUUCCUAGGACCAAGACCACAUAAAAAAAUUUCUCAGUCUCACUUUCAAUUAAGGUCUGCACAAUUCCACUCCAGCGAAGGGUAUUUCUCUCCCCUCCCUAUGCUAUUAUUCACAUUGGUUAGACUCCCUCCCACACAGAACAUCCUUUCAAUUCCAACCCUUACCCUCUUCUAAAUCUUCUAUCCUCACCUUCCCUCUAGAAUCUAUGAACAUUGCUUAAAGCGAAUUAAAUUUUCUCUCUGCCAUUCAGCAGAGGAGCCCGAGGUUUAAAAUUUUAACUACCACCUUUGUCUGGCUUAUGACGUGUAUCACAUUCUCGUAUCGUUCAGGUCCUCAAGGAUAGUCACAGUGACCGUCUUGUGAUUGAACUCUGUGAUGCUCUGUAACAUCUAGCAUAAAACAUAAUAAACAACAGAAACUGCAAAUCCUCUCGGGUCUAGGCAGAUCAUAUAUAUUUGAUAGGGCUAGUAUGGAUAACUGUUGAAAUAAAAACAAGGCAUCUUAAUCAGUAAGGAAAAAAUAGUUCAACUAUCAUUAUGAGGUGGAGAAAUAAAUACCAACUGCAAACUUUUCAACAUGAGGUUGCUUCUGUAGAACCCCACAAAACCAGGCAUAUAUAACAGGAAACUACAAUUUGGCAAGGUGACUUCCUUUGCUUGACAGAUGCAAGAUAUUGUGCAGUUCUAAUAUCCAUCCUUCUAAGUAAAAUACACCACUUGCCAAAAUCAUGCUGGAUCACAUACGAAGUAUCCUCAUGAGAUCAACACCCAGCAGUAACUCUACUUUGUAGUCAGUUACUUGUGUAAUUUUGUCUAGAAAGAUACUUCCAUACUAUUCAGAAGUUCCAUAUAACGAUCUUAUUGAAAUGUAUUUGUUUUUUAAAUCAACACAACAUAUUCACCACUCUGUGUCAGAAGGUUAGUUUUAGAUUACUUCCUCAUUAAAAAAGGAUGCUUCUGAUGGGUUUCAAUAGGAAUUAUCUUCAAAGGUAUUUAAGAUUUUUUUCAGUUAUCAAGAAUAAAAUACAAGCACAUUGAUGGUUUAAUGAAAAUAACGAUGGUAGAGUGAUAAACAAUGAAGACAAGUCACAUCUAUAGGUGAAUCCAACCCUUCUGUAAACCAGUCCGAUUCAGACAUCAUUAUACUUACAGGAUGGAAGACUACAUCCUGGAAGAGCAGCAGUUCUGAAAAGGACUUAGGAAUCAUGAUGGAUAAUCAUCUAAAUUUACAAUCUUUUAAUGCAAAUAACUGAGACUGAAAGAUUUAAAAAUGCGAUCCUUGGAGGUAUAAACAAACAAGCGAAGAUAUAAACUGAAAGGUUCAAGAAUGUACCUGCACAUACUAGACGCACACAGCAAUACUGAAAUUACUACCAGAUGCUGUAUGCAGUUCUUACGACCACGCUUUAGAAUGGAUUUUAAAACAUCUGAAGUUUCAGAAGAGCCGUAAAAGCUUUACAGUUAGAGAUUUAAGGAACUCCAUCUAUAUAGGUUAUUAAAGUUAACAUAUUCUUAUGUGAAUAAAGUGAAAUAGUUUAAAACUAGAGUAGCUAUUUAUUAUUCUAAUAGGCAGCUAGCUAUCUGAUGGCCAGCAGCUGUAACUAAACAGUCCAAAAACUGAAGGAGGACUAAGAGUAUGGAAAACAAACUAGCUGAAUCACUCAAGAGACACGGAAAAAUCUUCACACUUGAAGAAUCUAUAUGAAAAUCAGCUAUCUUUUUCAAAAGUAUGUUCUACUGCACCCAAAAGAUACGGACUUCAUGAUGCAGAAAUAACUAGAUUGAAUUCUAGGGAUAAUGGCAUGCCAGUCAGAUUAUUUCAUUACCAUGGUCACUUCUGGCCUUAAAAUGAGCUAGUCUGUAAUAGGUAGAAAGCUGCAGUGCAUAUAAGAACAUUCAAACUAACAGAUGAUAAUAUAAAGAACUCAAACUACAAGUACAGUCCAUCAGAAUCAAGCAGAGCUGUGUUCAUACAUCAAUGAUUUGUAUACCUUGCUGUUUCAAUUAAAAACUCAAAAUUAUCUGUUAUGCCUCCAACUUUUACUUUCAUAUUUUUAAGUCUGUUGCAAUGUAUCUGAUAUUUACAUAUUAUAGUAUAAUUAUACCUACCAUACCAUGGCUUGGAGUAGGUUAAUUGCAUAGGAAGAUUUACUAGGUUUACAUUUUUUUCUUAAAUUACUCUUUUUUUAAAAAGCACAGUAAAGAGUCUGAGGACAAAUUAUUCAACUGUUUAUCAUACAUAAGACUGCAUGACUAUAAUACAAAGGGCUUGUCUUUUCAUUUAACGUUACAAUAUA